GACGAACGCUGGCGGCGUGCUUAACACAUGCAAGUCGAACGGUGAAGCGCCUUCCUUUUUGGUGGGUGUGGAUGAGUGGCGAACGGGUGAGUAACACGUGAGUAACCUGCCCCCUUCUUCUGGAUAACCGCAUGAAAGUGUGGCUAAUACGGGAUAUUCUGGGUCUGUCGCAUGAUGGGUAUGGGAAAGAUAUUGUUUCGGUGGGGGAUGGGCUCGCGGCCUAUCAGCUUGUUGGUGGGGUGAUGGCCUACCAAGGCGGUGACGGGUAGCCGGCCUGAGAGGGUGGACGGUCACACUGGGACUGAGCCACGGCCCAGACUCCUACGGGAGGCAGCAGUGGGGAAUAUUGCACAAUCGGCGCAAGCCUGAUGCAGCGACGCCGCGUGAGGGAUGGAGGCCUUCGGGUUGUGAACCUCUUUCGCCAGUGAAGCAGGCCUGCCUCGUUUGUGGGUGGGUUGACGGUAGCUGGAUAAGAAGCGCCGGCUAACUACGUG
rnacentral:rRNA from 1 species